AGCGAACGCUGGCGGCAGGCUUAACACAUGCAAGUCGAACGGGCACUUCGGUGUCAGUGGCAGACGGGUGAGUAACACGUGGGAACGUACCUUUUGGUUCGGAACAACACAGGGAAACUUGUGCUAAUACCGGAUAAGCCCUUACGGGGAAAGAUUUAUCGCCGAAAGAUCGGCCCGCGUCUGAUUAGCUAGUUGGUGAGGUAAUGGCUCACCAAGGCGACGAUCAGUAGCUGGUCUGAGAGGAUGAUCAGCCACAUUUGGACUGAGACACGGCUCAAACUCCUACGGGAGGCAGCAGUGGGGAAUAUUGGACAAUGGGCGCAAGCCUGAUCCAGCCAUGCCGCGUGAGUGAUGAAGGCCCUAGGGUUGUAAAGCUCUUUUGUGCGGGAAGAUAAUGACGGUACCGCAAGAAUAAGCCCCGGCUAACUUCGUGCCAGCCGCCGCGGUAA
rnacentral:rRNA from 1 species